AUCCAUAUGCAUGCUAUGUAACAAACAAAUGCAACCAUCAAAUGCAACAAAUCAACUUGGGUCUAUACUACCACAUUCUAACGUUCCAGCGAACUAGGACGCUCUACAGCCAGACCUGCUCUAAUACCAAGCCUGUGGCACCCCGGCUCAUAGAAGCUGGAAUGCACCCGUAUUCCAGCCCAGAGAUCGAGGCAAAGUCUUCUGGAAUAAUACGACAGUCCUUAGCAUAGAACAAACCAGCUUUCUAUUAUAGCAUGAAUAUCUCCGAUAUUACAAUGAAUAACAGCGGCACAGCGACACUACGGCAACCAUAGUUGCUCUAUGCAAGCAGCAUAACAACUCGAGGCAGCGGAACCUCUACUAGCAGCGGAAGAACUAUUGGCAGUGGAACAAUGAAUGACAAUGAUGGACUCCAAUCCAUAGGGACUCUGGCUGGAAUGUUUAUCCUAGCUCACGAACACAAGAACCAGACCAAACCAGCAAGCAAUCCAGGCACAUCCUGCAAACUGGCAUGACACACCAGGUCAGUACAUUGAAUGUACUUGCAAGCUGACAAUAACCAAAAGUAAUCAAGGCAAACAGCAACAUGGCAUUAGCACAUUAAAGCAAUCAUGAGCACAAUAUUAACAGAACAACAUGGCGUGCACAACUGAACAUGAUAAAACUUUAGCAUGGCAUAAGCAUAUGAACAUGAUGAUACUACAUGCAACAUUUUAACAUAUCAUGCACCAACUUACUCUGCUCGGGUUACCUCGUAACCAACAUAUGCACCAACUUACCAACAUCGGUAUCCUCGAUACCACGGUGAUCUUCUCGCGAUCACGAAUAUCCAACAACUCAGUAUCCUCGAUACCGCUAACAUCUUUCUCAUCAUCGAACUGAGGUUAUUAUUAAUCAAGUUAUUAUUGUUGUUGGCUCAUAGUGUGGCCUACUCUGAACUAGGCCCCUAUCUGCGGGCGCGGCUAUCGAUAGAUUUUACACACACACUCUGCAGAGGUUAGCGCAUUUUACCCACAUCACAAAACCCAUAGCCUCGCACUCCCAUUAGGGUGGACCAACGCGUUCCGACGAAACCCUUCCCUUGCCAUGACACUCUCCCGGCCACUCCAACCAACUCCCUCUCAGGGCUAAGUCAUGGGUGGCCCCAUGCCUACCAAAGGCAUCUUCGGCCAUCGUCAUGGAAAAACGGUCCCAAACAGGGACAAUCCGGAUAUAACAACAACGAGCACACAAGGUUAUGUCUGCUUACCGGGCCAGGGUACAACAUGCCCAUAACCUUCCCUUGUUGGAGGCACCGGCAAGAGGCACGACAAAGGACCGAAUCAAGACCCUCCAUAAGGUAAAUGUGGUUGCACUGGUCAUCUCGAUUCAAAGGCACCAUGACUCAGCCAACAGUUGUUCAAGUUCAAUUAAGUCCGGUUAAACUUGAAUGCAAUAAGCUGAGUCAUAUGAAAUUAACAUGAUGCAACAAUAAUGCAUGAUACCAAAAUUAACCAAAAUUAACAUGGAUGCAACAUAAGCAUUAAGCAUAAUAAUAGUGAAUCAUUUAUGAUGAGCAUGGCAUACUGACGAGCAUGAUUAACACAAGCAUAACUCUACCAUAAGCACAUCCUGACUACUAGCAUCAUGAACAACUACCAUGCAAGAACAUAGAAAGAAUACUACCAAGUCUGCAUGUCACCAACUAGAUGCAACGGAACCAACAUAGCAAUGGUACUGAAUAGCAGACUAAGCAUGCAUCCGAAGAACAUCACAACUACCAGCAUGUAUUACUACUACCAACAAGCAUGACAUGUGAAAAUGAUACUAACAAGUAGCAAGAGAUAUCAUGAUGCAUCACAACAUAGCAAGAAUGUGGACACGAGUCCACGAGUAAAACCGAAACAACGAUAGUAGAAGCAAACAAGAAGGCAGAUAACGGGCAAACUUUUAUCAAAUAUUCAAGUUGAAAACCAAGGCAAGUGUCUGUUGUGGCUUGCCUGGGGGUGAUGGAGGCUCCGGGAAGAAGUGCGGUGAAGACACGGAAACGAAACGCCGGACGGUUCUCUCUCGAAGGGGGCUGAUAAGGGUAAGGGAAAACUGGUCAUUUUCAUUGUGGGACCUGUUAGAAAUAUGCCCUAGAGGCAAUAAUAAAUUAGUUAUUAUUAUAUUUCCUUGUUCAAGAUAAUCGUUUAUUAUCCAUGCUAUAAUUGUAUUGAUGGGAAACUCAGAUACAUGUGUGGAUACAUAGACAACACUAUGUCCCUAGUAAGCCUCUAGCUGACUAGCUCGUUGAUUAAUAGAUGGUUACGGUUUCAUGACCAUGGACAUUGGAUGUCAUUGAUAAUGGGAUCACAUCAUUAGGAGAAUGAUGUGAUGGACAAGACCCCAAUCCUAAGCCUAGCACAAAGAUCGUAGUUCGUAUGCUAAAGCUUUUCUAAUGUCAAGUAUCAUUUCCUUAGACCAUGAGAUUGUGCAACUCCCGGAUACCGUAGGAAUGCUUUGGGUGUACCAAACGUCACAACGUAACUGGGUGGCUAUAACGGUGCACUACAGGUAUCUCUGAAAGUGUCUGUUGGGUUGGCACAAAUCGAGACUGGGAUUUGUCACUCCGUGUAAACGGAGAGGUAUCUCUGGGCCCACUCGGUAGGACAUCAUCAUAAAGUGCACAAUGUGAUCAAGGGGUUGAUCACGGGAUGAUGUGUUACGGAACGAGUAAAGAGACUUGCCGGUAACGAGAUUGAACAAGGUAUCGGUAUACCGACGAUCGAAUUCGGGCAAGUACAAUACCGCUAGACAAAGGGAAUUGUAUACGGGAUCGAUUGAGUCCUUGACAUCGUGGUUCAUCCGAUGAGAUCAUCGUGGAACAUGUGGGAGCCAACAUGGGUAUCCAGAUCCCGCUAUUGGUUAUUGACCGGAGAACGUCUCGGUCAUGUCUGCAUGGUUCCCGAACCCGUAUGGUCUACACACUUAAGGUUUGAUGAUGCUAGGGUUAUAAAGGAAGUUUGUAUGUGGUUACCGAAUGUUGUUCGGAGUCCCGGAUGAGAUCCCGGACAUCACGAGGAGUUCCGGAAUGGUCCGGAGGUAAAGAUUUAUAUAUGGAAAGUUGUUGUUCGGGUUCCGGAAAAAGUUUGGGUUUUUUUGGUAUUGUACCGGGAAGCUUCCAGAAGGUUCCGGAGGAUUCCGGAGGGGUCCGGGGGUCCGAAAAUUGUUCCACUACAUCCAAUACAGCAGCAUGGGCUGUAGGGGGCUCCCUAGCCUUAAUGGGUCAGGGGCACCAGCCCCCCCAAGGCCCAUGCGCAUGGGAGAGGGGAAACCCUAAGGGGGAGGGCCUCCACUUGACUUGGGAGGCACUCCUCCCCCCCUUGGGCGCCGCCCCCUCCUCAGAUUGGAUCUGAGGGGGCCGGCCCCCCUCUCCCCUGCCCCUAUAUAUAUGUGGGGGUGGGAGGGUAGCCGCACCACAAGUUCUGGCGCAGCCCUCCCCCUCUCCCAAGUACUCCUCCUCUCCCGCGGUGCUUGGCGAAGACCUGCAGGAUUGCCAUGCUCCUCCAUCACCACCACGCCAUUGUGCUGCUGCUGGAUGGAGUCUUCCUCAACCUCUCUCUCUCUCCUUGCUGGAUCAAGGCAUGGGAGACGUCACCGGGCUGUACGUGUGUUGAACGCGGAGGUGCCGUCCGUUCGGCACUAGGAUCUCCGGUGAUUUGGAUCACGACGAGUACGACUCCUUCAACCCUGUUCUCUUGAACGCUUCUGCUUAGCGAUCUACAAGGGUAUGUAGAUGCACUCUCCUUCCCCUUGUUGCUAGUUUCUCCAUAGAUAGAUCUUGGUGACACGUAGGAAAAUUUUGAAUUUCUUCUACGUUCCCCAACAGUGGCAUCAGAGCUAGGUCUAUUGCGUAGAUUCUUUGCACGAGUAGAACACAAAGUAGUUGUGGGUGUUCAUUUUGUUCAAUAUGCUUAUCGUUACUAGUCCAAUCUUGUUUCGACGGUAUUGUGAGAUGAAGCGGCCCGGACCGACCUUACACGUACUCUUACGUGAGACAGGUUCCAUCGACUGACAUGCACUUGGUGCAUAAGGUGGCUAGCGGGUGCCAGUCUCUCCCACUUUAGUCGGAACGGAUUCGAUGAAAAGGGUCCUUAUGAAGGGUAAAUAGCAAUUGACAUAUCACGUUGUGGUUUUUGCGUAGGUAAGAAACGUUCUUGCUAGAAACCCAUAGCAGCCACGUAAAACAUGCAAACAACAAUUAGAGGACGUCUAACUUGUUUUUGCAGGGUAUGCUAUGUGAUGUGAUAUGGCCAAGAAGAAUGUGAUGAAUGAUAUGUGAUGUAUGAGAUUGAUCAUGUUCUUGUAAUAGGAAUCACGACUUGAAUGUCGAUGAGUAUGACAACCGGCAGGAGCCAUAGGAGUUGUCUUAAUUUAUUGUAUGACCUGCGUGUCAUUGAACAACGCCAUGUAAUUACUUUACUUUAUUGCUAACCGGUAGCCAUAGUAGUAGAAGUAAUAGUUGGCGAGACAACUUCAUGAAGACACGAUGAUGGAGAUCAUGAUGAUGGAGAUCAUGGUGUCAUGCCGGUGACGAUGAUGAUCAUGGAGCCCCGAAGAUGGAGAUCAAAAGGAGCAAAAUGAUAUUGGCCAUAUCAUGUCACUAUUUGAUUGCAUGUGAUGUUUAUCAUGUUUAUGCAUCUUAUUUGCUUAGAAUGACGGUAGUAAAUAAGAUGAUCCCUCAUUAAAAUUUCAAGAAAGUGUUCCUCCUAACUGUCCACCGUUGCGAAAGUUCGUCGUUUCGAAGCACCACGUGAUGAUCGGGUGUGAUAGAUUCUUACGUUCACAUACAACAGGUGUAAGCCAGAUUUACACACGCGAAACACUUAGGUUAACUUAACGAGCCUAGCAUGUAUAGACAUGGCCUCGGAACACAAGAGACCGAAAGGUCGAGCAUGAGUCGUAUAGUAGAUACGAUCAACAUGAAGAUGUUCACCGAUGAUGACUAGUCCGUCUCACGUGAUGAUCGGACACGGCCUAGUUGACUCGGAUCAUGUAAUCACUUAGAUGACUAGAGGGAUGUCUAUCUGAGUGGGAGUUCAUGAGAUGAACUUAAUUAUCCUGAACAUAGUCAAAAGAUCUUUGCAAAUUAUGUCAUAAGCUCGCGCUUUAGUUCCACUGUUUAGAUAUGUUCCUAGAGAAAAUAUAGUUGAAAGUUGACAGUAGUGAUUAUGCAGACAGUAGAAAGCUUAUGUCCUUAAUGCACCGCUUGGUGUGCUGAACCCCAAUCGUCGUCUGUGGAUGUUGCGAACAUCGGACAUACACGUUUUGAUAACUACAUGAUAGUUCAGUUAAACGGUUUAGAGUUGAGGCACCAAAGACGUUUUUCGAAACAUCGCGGAACAUAUGAGAUGUUUUGAGGGCUGAAAUUGGGAUUUCAGGCUCGUACCCGCGUCAAGAGGUAUAAGACCUCCGACGAUUUUCUUAGCCUGCAAACUAAGGGAGAAAAGCUCAAUCGUUGAGCUUGUGCUCAGAUUGUCUGAGUGCAAGAAUCACUUGAAUCAAGUGGGAGUUGAUCUUCCAGAUGAGAUAGUGAUGUUUCUCCAAAGUCAUUGCCACCAAGCUGCUAGAGCUUCGUGAUGAACUAUAACAAUCAGGGAUAGAUAUGAUGAUCCUUGAGGUAUUCACGAUGUUUGACACCGCGAAAGUAGAAAUCAAGAAGGAGCAUCAAUUGUUGAUGGUUGGUGAAACCACUAGUUUCAAGAAGGGAGAGGGCAAGAAGGGACACUUCAUGAAACGGCAAAUCAGUUGCUGCUCCAGUAAAGAAACCCAAGGUUGAACCCAAACCCGAGACUAAGUGCUUCUGUAAUAAGGGGAACAACCACUGGAGCAGAAUUACCCUAGAUACUUGGUAGAUAAGAAGGCUGGCAAGGUCGAUAGAAGUAUAUUGGAUAUACAUUAUGUUAAUGUGUACUUUACUAGUACUCCUAGUAGCACCAGGGUAUUAGAUACCGGUUCGGUUGCUAAGUGUUAGUAACUCGAAAUAAAAGAGCUACGGAAUAAACGGAGACUAGCUAAAGGUGAGCUGACGAUAUGUGUUGGAAGUGUUUCCAAGUUUGAUGUGAUCAAACAUCGCACGCUCCCUCUACCAUCAAGAUUAGUAUUAAACCUGAAUAAUUGUGAUUUGGUGUUUGUGUUGAGCAUAGACGUGAUUGGAUUAUGUCUAUCGCAAUACGGUUAUUCAUUUAAGGAGAAUAAUGGUUACUCUAUUUAUUUGAAUAAUACCUUCAAAGGUCUUGCACCUAAAGGAAUGGUUUAUUGAAUCUCGAUCGUAGUGAUACACAUUUUCAUGCCAAAAGAUAUAAGAUAGUAAUGAUAGUACCACUUACUUGUGGCACUGCUAUGUAAGUCAUAUUGGGAUAAAACGCAUGAAGAAGCUCCAUGUUGAUGGAUCUUUGGACUCACUCGUUUUGAAAAGUUUGAGACAUGCAAACCAUGUCUAUUGGUUUAUACGCAUGAAGAAACUCCAUGCAGAUGGAUCGUUUGGACUCACUUGAUUUUGAAUCACUUGAGAUAUGCAAAUCAUACCACAUAGGCAAGAUGACUGAAAAGCCUCGGUUUCAGUAAGAUGGAACAAGAUAGCAACUUGUUGGAAGUAACACACUUUGAUGUGUGCAGUCCAAUGAGUGCUGAGACAUGCAGUGAAUAUCGUUAUGUUCUUACUUCACAGAUGAUUCGAGUAGAUGUUAAGUAUAUUUUACUUGAUGAAACACAAGUCUGAAUUAUUGAAUGGUUCAAGUAAUUUCAGAGUGAAGUUGAAGAUCGUUGUGACAAGAGGAUAAAAUGUCUAUGAUAUGAUCAUAAAGAUGAGUAUCUGAGUUACGAGCUUUGGCACGCAAUUAAGACAUUGUGGAAAUUGUUUCACAAUUAAUACCGCCUGGAACACCAUAGUGUGAUGGUGUGUCCGAACAUCAUGGUUGCACCCUAUUGGAUAUGGUGCGUACCAUGAUGUCUCUUAUCGAAUUACCACUAUCGUUCAUGGGUUAGGCAUUAAAGACAACCGCACUCACUUUAAUAGGGCACCACAUAAUUCCGUUGAGACGACACCGUUUGAACUAUGGUUUAGAGAAACAUAAGUUGUCGUUUCUUGAAAGUUUGGGGCUGCGACGCUUAUGUGAAAAGUUUCAUCGUGAUAAGCUCGAUCCCAAAACGGAUAAAUGCAUCUUCAUAGGAUAUCCAAAAUGGUUGGGUAUACCUCCUAAUUCAGAUCCGGAAGCAAAAGUGAUUGUUUCUAGAAACGGGUCCUUUCUCGAGAAAAAGUUUCUCUCGAAAGAAUUGAGUGGGAGGAUGGUGGAGACUUGAUGAGGUUAUUGAACCGUCACUUCAACUAGUGUGUAGCAGGGCACAGGAAGUUGUUCCCAUGGCGCCUACACCAAUUGAAGUAGAAGCUUAUGAUAGUGAUCAUGAAGUUUCGUAUCAAGUCACUACCGUACCUCGUAGGGUGACAAGGAUGCGUACUACUUCAGAGUGGUACAGUAAUCCUGUCUUGAAGGUCAUUUUGCUAGUCAAUAAUGAACCUACGAGCUAUGGAGAAGCGAUGGUGGGCCCAAAUUCCGACAAAUGGUUAGAAACCAUGAAAUCCGAGAUAGGAUCCAUGUAUCAGAACAAAGCAUGGACUUUGGUGGACUUGCCCGAUGAUCGGCAAGCCAUUGAGAUAAAUGGAUCUUUAUGAAGAAGACGGACGUGGACGGUAAUGUCACCGUCUAUGAAGCUCGACUUGUGGCGAAGAGUUUUUCACAAGUUCAAGGAGUUGACUACGAUGAGAUUUUCUCAUCCGUAGCGAUGCUUAAGUCCGUCGGAAUCAUGUUAGCAUUAGAUGCAUUUAUGAAAUCUGGUAGAUGGAUGUCAAAACGAGUUUCCUUACCAGUUUUUGUAAGGAAAGGUUGUAUGAGAUACAAUCCGAAAGGUUUUGACGAUCCUAAGGAUGCUAAAAGGUAUGCUGGCUCCAGCGAUCCUUUCAUGGACUGGAGUAAGCAUCUCGGAGUUGGAAUAUGCACUUUGAUAAGAUGAUCAAAGAUUUUGGGUUUAUACAAAGUUUGUGAGAAACUUGUGUUUCCAAAGAAGUGAGUGGGAGCACUAUAGAAUUUCUGAUGAGUAUAUGUUGUUGACAUGUUGUUGAUCAGAAAUGAUGUAGAAUUUCUAGAAAAGUAUAUAGGGUUAUUUGAAAGGUGUUUUUCAAUGGAAAACCUGGAUUAAGCUACUUGAACAUUGAGCAUCAAGAUCUAUGAGGAUGGAUCAAAACGCUUAAUGGUACUUUCAAAAUGAGCACAUACCUUGACAUGAUCUUAAAGGUGUUCAAGAUGGAUCAGUCAAAGAAGGAGUUCUUGCCUGAGUUGUAAGGUAUGAAGUUAAGAGUUAAAGCUCGACCACGGUAGAAGAGAGAGAAAAGACGAAUGUCGUCCCCUAUGCUUUAGACGUAGGCUCUAUAGUAUGCUAUGCUGUGUACGUCACCAGAAGUGUGCCUUGCCAUGAGUUAGUCAAAGGGGUACAAGAAUGAUCCAGGAAUGGAUCAUUGGACAGCGGUCAAAAUUGUCCUUGGAGUAAAUAAGGGCAUGUUUCUCGAUUAUGGAGGUGAUAAAGAGUUCAACGUAAAGGGUUACGUCGAUGCAAUCUUUAACACCUAUCUGAAUGACUCUGAGUAGCAAACCGGAUAUGUAUAGUGGAGCAACCAUUUGGAAUAGCUUCAAGUGGAGCGUAGAAGCAGCAUUUACAAUAUGACAUAGAGAAUUGCGAAGUACAUACGGAUCUGAAAGUUGCGGACUCGUUGACUAAAACCUCUCUCACAAGCAAAACAUGAUCAAACCCCAGAACUCAUUGAGUCUUAAUCACAUGAUGAUGUGAACUAGUUUAAUGACACUAGUAAACUCUUUGGAUGUUGGUCACAUGGCGAUGUGACGUGUGAGUGUUGAUCACAUGACGAUGUGAGCUAGAUUAUUGACUCUAGUGCAAGUGGGAGACUGUUGGAAAUAUGCCCUAGAGGCAAUAAUAAAUUAGUUAUUAUUAUAUUUCCUUGUUCAAGAUAAUCGUUUAUUAUCCAUGCUAUAAUUGUAUUGAUGGGAAACUCAGAUACAUGUGUGGAUACAUAGACAACACUAUGUCCCUAGUAAGCCUCUAGCUGACUAGCUCGUUGAUUAAUAGAUGGUUACGGUUUCCUGACCAUGGACAUUGGAUGUCAUUGAUAACGGGAUCACAUCAUUAGGAGAAUGAUGUGAUGGACAAGACCCCAAUCCUAAGCCUAGCACAAAGAUCGUAGUUCGUAUGCUAAAGCUUUUCUAAUGUCAAGUAUCAUUUCCUUAGACCAUGAGAUUAUGCAACUCCCGGAUACCGUAGGAAUGCUUUGGGUGUACCAAACGUCACAACGUAACUGGGUGGCUAUAAAGGUGCACUACAGGUAUCUCCGAAAGUGUCUGUUGGGUUGGCACGAAUCGAGACUGAGAUUUGUCACUCCGUGUAAAUGGAGAGGUAUCUCCGGGCCCACUCGGUAGGACAUCAUCAUAAAGUGCACAAUGUGAUCAAGGGGUUGAUCACGGGAUGAUGUGUUACGGAACGAGUAAAGAGACUUGCCGGUAACGAGAUUGAACAAGGUAUCAGUAUACCGACGAUCGAAUCUCGGGCAAGUACAAUACUGCUAGACAAAGGGAAUUGUAUACAGGAUCGAUUGAGUCCUUAAGAUCGUGGUUCAUCCGAUGAGAUCAUCGUGGAACAUGUGGGAGCCAACAUGGGUAUCCAGAUCCCACUAUUGGUUAUUGACCGGAGAACGUCUCGGUCAUGUCUGCAUGGUUUCCGAACCCGUAGGGUCUACACACUUAAGGUUCGAUGACGCUAGGGUUAUAAAGGAAGUUUGUAUGUGGUUACCGAAUGUUGUUCGGAGUCCCAGAUGAGAUCCCGGACAUCACGAGGAGUUCCGGAAUGGUCCGGAGGUAAAGAUUUAUAUAUGGAAAGUUGUUCGGGUUCCGGAAAAAGUUCGGGUUUUUUCGGUAUUGUACCGGGAAGCUUCCAGAAGGUUCCGGAGGAUUCCGGGGGUCCGGAAAUUGUUCCACGUCCAAUACAGCAGCAUGGGCUGUAGGGGGGCGCCCUAGCCUUAAUGGGCCAGGGGCACCAGCCCCCCCAAGGCCCAUGCGCAUGGGAGAGGGGAAACCCUAAGGGGGAGGGUCUCCACUUGACUUGGGAGGCACUCCUCCCCUCCUUGGCCGCCGCCCCCUCCUCAGAUUGGAUCUGAGGGGGCCGGCCCCCCUCUCCCUUACCCCUGUAUAUAUGUGGGGGGUGGGAGGGUAGCCGCACCACAAGUUCUGGCGCAGCCCUCCCCCUCUCCCAAGUACUCCUCCUCUCCCGCGGUGCUUGGCGAAGCCCUGCAGGAUUGCCAUGCUCCUCCAUCACCACCACGCCAUUGUGCUGCUGCUGGAUGGAGUUUUCCUCAACCUCUCCCUCUCUCCUUGCUGGAUCAAGGCAUGGGAGACGUUACCGGGCUGUACGUGUGUUGAACGCGGAGGUGCCGUCCGUUCGGCACUAGGAUCCCCGGUGAUUUGGAUCAUGACGAGUACGACUCCUUCAACCCCGUUCUCUUGAACGCUUCCGCUUAGCGAUCUACAAGAGUAUGUAGAUGCACUCUCCUCCCCUCGUUGCUAGUUUCUCCAUAGAUAGAUCUUGGUGACACGAAGGAAAAUUUUGAAUUUCUGCUACGUUCCCCAACAGGACCACCUAGUGAAAAUGGAAGCAUUAGAAAGAGCUCGACGAUACGAAGAUGUGAGCGUUGGUUUCACCUUGAUCGGAGUUACGAGCAAAAAGUUGUGAAGGGUUGAAGUUCAGGGAAUUUUCUAUAAAAAUAUUAUUCACAGCCGGGUCCCUGAGUGGAUAAGAUAGAAACGGAUUUCAGAAAAUACGCUUUCUGAGUCAGAAAACGCACUUUAGGCUGAAGAAGACGACAAUACGCUUUCUGGAAGGGAAAGCGUAGUUUUAGCCGAAGGAGACCAAGAAUAUGCUUUUGAAUAUUGAAAACGUAUUCCUGAAUUACGCUUCCACUUAAAAUGACUGGGCCCAGGGUUAGGUCACUUACGGGUGGGAUCAAGGAGACAGGCGGGACCCAGCAGCAGGGGCGCUGGCAUCGUCUUCUUCCUCCUGCUCGUUCACGCGGGAAACAGUGGAGCCAGAGGAGGGAGGACCGGCGAGGGGGCCGACCAACUCCGGCCAUGGCGAAGCCACCGGAGGGCGUGGCCCGGCCCGGCGCUCCCAUCCCCGACCAAAGGGAGGCGCGGGGAGGCCAAGAACGUCAUCGAGGGGAGGCGACCCGAGGAGACAGAGGGUGGGCGGACGGCGAUGGAGCGGGCUACUCCGGCCGUCUCCUGGAGAGACCAGGGCACUGGCGAGCUCGGGAAAGAACACCGCACCGAUUCAGAGGAGUAGAAGACGCCGGGGAGGAGAAGAACGAAGAAGAUGCCGCGACGACGGGAGGCGGCAGAGAGGGCUCGGGUGAUGGUGGUCUCGGCGAUGCAGGGCACUCCGGGAAGGGCAAGAGGGUUGGGGCGGCUCGUGGAGAGGAGAGGAACACGUUGGGCAGGUCAGGGAGGCAAGAGGAACACCGAGGCAGCCGGGUGGAGGAGAUCUCCGACGAUGGCCGCGGUUGCCGAGAAGAAAAAACUAAACCGAGCGGUUCAGUUUAACUAAAUCCUACAAAAACUAAACCGAUCCUAAUAAACCUAACAGAGAAAAGAAAAGAAACAAACGGAGGGAGGCGCUUACGGCGGGAGUUGGUGGUUGACAGAGGCGGAGGGCGCCGGUGAGGUGGCGGCAUCUGGCGAUCCCCGGCGUCGGCGGUGAGGUAGGGAGGGGCGGCUGCUCCAGUGUGGCGUGAGGCGGCGCUGGGUGGCGGGGUCGGGCAGGGUGCCCCUGCCACGGAGCCAAGAGCUCGAGCGGUUUGACCUUUGAUGGUGGCGGCCCUUCGGUGGUCCUCCAGCGAGGCGUGGAGUCGGGGCGGAACACGACGAGGUCCGGCGCAUCUCGGCGAUGGCGAUGGUAGUGUCUGCGGCUUCUAGUGCUCGCGGUGGUGACGAGGGCGAUCGGCUGGAGCGAGGCAAAGUCCGGCGAGAUGUGGAAGGAGUUGUAGCUUCGUUACCGUGCGCGUCUGCGAGGGAUAAGAGGUUAGUGGGUUGGGAGUUGAGAGGCAGAAAGAAACACAGGGAGAGGGGUGCUCGGGACCUCUAGUAAUGGCGGAAUUCAACUCGUGAAAGCUCCGUGCGGCGGCGCACUCCGGCGAGAUUGGAUCAGGCCGAAACGGGCUCGGGAGACCGUGAUUUUUGCGAAAAUCGGAUGAGGAGGAGGGGGCAUUAUCUAUAGGGAGGCGGGCGUGUGCGAGGGGUAAGGAAUGGAGCGAAUCAGCAAGGAUUUGAUUAGGAAAGGG
rnacentral:lncRNA from 1 species